rnacentral:rRNA from 1 species
GACAGCAGCGCCGCGGGAAUACAGAGGGUGCGAGCGUUAAUUGGAUUUACUGGGCGUAAAGCGUGCGUAGGCGGCUUCUUAAGUCGGAUGUGAAAUCCCUGAGCUUAACUUAGGAGUUGCAUUCGAUACUGGGAAGCUAGAGUAUGGGAGAGGAUGGUAGAAUUCCAGGUGUAGCGGUGAAAUGCGUAGAGAUCUGGAGGAAUACCGAUGGCGAAGGCAGCCAUCUGGCCUAAUACUGACGCUGAGGUACGAAAGCAUGGGGAGCAAACAGGAUUAGAUACCCCCGUAGUCCCUGUCUCUUAUACA